AAGUGUAUUAUAUAUAUGAUAGUUAUAUAUAAAUAAAAGAGAAUAGAGUCCAUACUUACACAAAAAUUUGAAAUAAUUAUAGUCUUUCUGUCAUUCCUCUAGCUUAUUUAUGUAGUACAUCUGAGUUGCAGAGAAUUGGAAAAAUCAUGAAUCAUUCAAAUAAUUGUGAAUGGUAAUUUAAUAGUUCGCCUUACAAUAUUCUACAAUUGCAUUGAUCCAAGAGUCCAAGAGAAGACAGGAACUUGAUGCCAUGCCACAUAAAGCUUAAGUCAUCAUAAGUACAUGUAUUUCAAAUAAUUUUCAUCUAAAAUAACAUCACAUAAACAUAAAUGUAACAAAGAUUCUAAAAACAUGAUCUAAAUCAGAAAAGGUAAAUCAUUUUAAAAAUGAACACGUUUCUAUUUAUCUACCAACUUAUAUAUUCAGUUUUAAGCAAAAUGAAUAAAGACUACUAUGUAAUUCUUUAGUAAUAUUUGAUAUAUAAAUUCCUACAUAAACAUCCCUGGAUUUUGUUAUGCUAUUUGACUAAUGUGAUGGAUGAUAUGGGUUGCCAACAAGUAUUAUUUUCUUUUUCAAUUUUAAGAGAACCUCAAUUUUGUUCAAGGUAUUAUGGGUAGGAGUAUGAAUCCUCUAUUUGGAGGAGGUUGAGCCCUCGUUAGCACUUUCAUGUUAUUUCUAAUUAAGUUAUGAUAAUCAUGGUAGUUGGGUUUUUUUUGGCAAUGACUGAUUUAGAAGUCAGCAUGAGACUCAAUUCCAGCCAAUGAGCUAUACAAGAAGUUCUACUAGAAAAGGAGGGUGUUUUGGACGUUGUUGGGUGACGUCUGGAUCUGCUGAAGCUGUCUUGCAUCCAUAGGGCUGAAGUCAACAUACCCAUGGUGGCAGAGUGGUAAGAUGGAAAAAACAGAACCUAGACGAAUGCCAUUGAGCUGCUGAGUUAACCAACACUAGAAUUUCCCUUUCUCCAGGCUUUUAAUUUAUAUUUAAGAACAUUUUAGCUGGGUUUUCUGGUUUCUUAUAUUGACAUAUGUUAAAUCACAUAAUCCAUGCCUAUUUUAAAUAUGCACUUUCCUUCAAUGUACCAGUUACACCUGCUAAUGAUAGUCUUUAUACUGCAAAAUCACUGUAGUUGUUACGCUGCAUAGCAAUAGCAAAAGUGAUAUAUAUGCCUUCCCCCCAACAGCUACAUUAGGUCCCCGAACCACCUCAGGAAAUAUCAGUAGAAUAAUAAAAUUAACCAGUGCAUUGGUUAUCUUAAUGCAUUUAGCACAGAAAUCCUCCUACAGGGAGAGAGGGUACUUAGAGAAGUAUAUAAACAUUAUUUUAUUUGAGUGCAAGAGAUAUGAAAUCCAUUUACUAUGAAAGAAACAAACCAGACUACAUCCUUGCAAAAUCAUUCCUAUUUAUUUUUCAAUAGCAUUCUACUAAACUCCAAAGAUUGUGCAUUAGGAGAAAACAGUGAGUAUAUCAGAGAAGAGCAGAUCCAACCUAUUAGCACUCUGAUAAGCAAAGCAAAUUACUGAGGACAAUUACCCAGGAACUUUUAUAUUCUGCAAGCUUUGUUCUUGUGACUCAUAAAACUCUUCUUGGUUGCUUGUACAAAGUCACUUCACAAUGACUGUCAGUGUCGGUGGCGGGGGGGGGAAGUUUUGUUCUAUUUUACCCUUUUCAGUGUAACAUGUAAUUCAUAUGCAGUACAUGUUACCUUAGAUUGAUGCUAGUGACUCAUGGUAGGAUCUUGAAGAAGUAACUAGCUGAUGAAGGUCAGUGUCGAUUUUGGUGACUGACAAAUUAUUUUGUGGGAUAAGCAACAAAGUCACAUUAAUUUUAAGGUAAGCAUUAGUAUAGCAUGACAAUGCCAUUUGCUCAUGGGGUUUACAGAAAUAAAAGUGGCCCCUUUUUAUGUUUGACAUGUGCAAGAGAACUUAAAUACAGCAAUAUGUCAUUACUUUCCUAAUUCGUUCAAUCAAUACUUUUGAAACUGCCUUUAUAACAAUGUUACAGAGAAAUAUCAUAGCUAGAAGACACUCUUUUCCAUGGUCUUUGUAAGUGAGAAAAUGGAAGCCUAAUGAGAUAAAGAAAUUUACACUAGCACAGGUAUUUAGUGUCAGCAACAGAUCUCAAUUUUGAAUCUCUUAACGUGUAGGCCACCACUCUUUCAACUACACCAUGAUACUCAGAUAAUAUAAAAAUCCUCCAAAAAAACUGCCAGUGUUUAAUUAAACCAAGAAAAAGCAUGAGUUUCAAAUGAUAAAAAGAUAUAUUUUUUCCAACCAGCCCUGGUGAUCUGACACAUUCAUGAAGAGCACUAAUGAGAAUGAAUGGUACUAAACACAGGGAAGACAAUACAUAAAAUAACAGGGACCAUGAGGGAAAACAAUCAAGUCUGAAGUGCAGAUGGACACUUAAUGAUCAAUCCUUGGUUCCAUUUUAGCUUCUGCCAGUGGCUGGCAGCUUAUGACAUCAAAAGAGUUAUCUGUGAUGCUCACUGAUCAAAGCUCAUUUAAUAAAUAAAUAGCAUCCACUAGUAACCCCACAGAAUAUAUUAUAGUACAAUUUAGUGGUUAUAAAGCAUUUUGUUGAAUUAUUUUAGGCCACCCUUGGAAAAAUAGUUAUUGAAAAUAUUUAUAGAAAGAACCUUACUUGUGUCUAGUCAAGACCCUUUGCUAGCAGAUGGGGAAAGUCAGAAUCAGACUGAAGUGACUGACCCACGGAGCCUGGAAGCAGCUGAUAGGAUUCAAAUUCUGGUUUUCCUAACUCUUGGUCCAAAUUGAUUCUGUGUACGUGUUCAUAGUGCAGGCCAUUUAUUCAGCAUUUCCAUAUGCCUGACACUGGUGGAGAAUGCAAUGCACAGAUGAAUAAGACGUGCCUACUUUCCAAGAGCUUAUGUGACACAAAGGAAGGCAGACAAACAUAUUUCAUUGUCAUGUGAUAAAUAUUAUGACAGUGGAGAGAUACAAAAGAUUACUAAAAGGACAACUUUAAAAACCACCUCUCUUGUACAUAUCAAAAAUGUCAUCAAAAUGCCACUUUCUGGUACUACCCAUUUAGACCUUUGAAAUGCAAAUAUUUCAGCCAGAGUCCUUGGGGAGGAGGUGGCUGGUUUGCCUGCUUCACUAAAAGGGGAGUGGUAGGAAAGGGG